GGCCACCCCGCUGCUGAUGCAGGCGCUGCCCAUGGGAGCCCUGCCCCAGGGGCCCAUGCAGAAUGCCACCAAGUAUGGCAACAUGACAGAGGACCAUACUGGAAGGUCUUUGAGAGCUGGAUGCACCAUUGGCUCCUGUUUGAAAUGAGCAGGCACUCCUUGGAGCAAAAGCCCACUGACGCUCCACCGAAAGAGUCACUGGAACUGGAGGACCCGUCUUCUGGGCUGGGUGUGACCAAGCAGGAUCUGGGCCCAGUCCCCAUGUGAGAGCAGCAGAGGCGGUCUUCAACAUCCUGCCAGCCCCACACAGCUACAGCUUUCUUGCUCCCUUCAGCCCCCAGCCCCUCCCCCAUCUCCCACCCUGUACCUCAUCCCAUGAGACCCUGGUGCCUGGCUCUUUCGUCACCCUUGGACAAGACAAACCAAGUCGGAACAGCAGAUAACAAUGCAGCAAGGCCCUGCUGCCCAAUCUCCAUCUGUCAACAGGGGCGUGAGGUCCCAGGAAGUGGCCAAAAGCUAGACAGAUCCCCGUUCCUGACAUCACAGCAGCCUCCAACACAAGGCUCCAAGACCUAGGCUCAUGGACGAGAUGGGAAGGCACAGGGAGAAGGGAUAACCCUACACCCAGACCCCAGGCUGGACAUGCUGACUGUCCUCUCCCCUCCAGCCUUUGGCCUUGGCUUUUCUAGCCUAUUUACCUGCAGGCUGAGCCACUCUCUUCCCUUUCCCCAGCAUCACUCCCCAAGGAAGAGCCAAUGUUUUCCACCCAUAAUCCUUUCUGCCGACCCCUAGUUCCCUCUGCUCAGCCAAGCUUGUUAUCAGCUUUCAGGGCCAUGGUUCACAUUAGAAUAAAAGGUAGUAAUUA
rnacentral:lncRNA from 1 species